CUGGCCAAGGAUUUUCCGAGUCAAGUUCGACAGUCUACAUAGGACGUUCUCUCUCACUAUUGAGAGUGUUGAAUUCCUUAUUGCGCAUUCACAUGCCUCCCCAUAUAAACUACUACAGCCAAUGUCACGCCCCAACGCCCCGAGGCCGCUACCGAUUUGGCACGGUUCGGGCGCGACGGGCAGACCGCCGAACGGACAGCACCUCCCCUGUCCGCCCAAGGCUCAACAACGAGAUCAUGUACAAUAAGUCCCCAGGAAAUUAACUUGAAUACAUACAUGAUCAUGCAACAACAGCGAGAGCACAAACAGUGCUGAACAUUACAAGAGCAAGCGUCACGAGUAGUAAACAUACAAGUGAAACAAAAGAGAGAUACUUAACUAUUCUAUUACAACCAUUCAACUUGAUACAUUUAAUUACAACUUAGCUUUCUUUAUCAAAAUAUGAAUAUAAGCUUACAUUCUUCCAAAGAUAAACAUUAGCUUUACAUUUAUCUCGAUACCUCACAUCCUAUACAUCAUCUACUCUCAAUACAUGUAUAGGGUAACUCUAAUGCAAAAUAGGAAAGUAAACUACCAACUAGCACUAGGGCACUAAGCCCAUACCGCGAUCCUCUGCCGAUCCGCUCUCGUGUGUACCUGUACCCCAAAACCACACGGGGUGAGAACUAUAUAAAUAUAGUUCCCAGUGGGUUCGGCCGCCGACUCCGCCGAUCUUCCCACUAGGUCUAAGCUGGCACAGAUAGAUAGAUAGAAAGAUA
rnacentral:lncRNA from 1 species